rnacentral:rRNA from 1 species
UACGGGGGGGGCAAGCGUUGUUCGGAAUUACUGGGCGUAAAGGGCUCGUAGGCGGCCAACUAAGUCAGACGUGAAAUCCCUCGGCUUAACCGGGGAACUGCGUCUGAUACUGGAUGGCUUGAAUCCGGGAGAGGGAUGCGGAAUUCCAGGUGUAGCGGUGAAAUGCGUAGAUAUCUGGAGGAACACCGGUGGCGAAGGCGACGUCCUGGACCGGCAUUGACGCUGAGGCGCGAAAGCCAGGGGAGCAAACGGG